rnacentral:rRNA from 1 species
AUGGCUGCUAAGCAAGUUUCAUGGACACCUACCAUGUCAAAGUUCAUGCUGACAUGGCUAAGUGAUUUAGUCUCUAAUGGCAAUAGAACAAGUACUGUCUUCAAGCAAUCACAGUUCAACGCUUGCGCCAUUGCUUUAAAUGAGCAUUUCCAACUUAACUUGAAUGGAGAUCAGAUCAAAAAUCAUAAUCGGACAUGGAAGAGGAAACUUCAGAAAAUAGUGAAACUCAAGGAGUUGUGUGGUGCACUAUGGGAUGAGGACAAGUGUAUGAUUGUUCUUGAUCAUGAGCAUUACACAAAUCAUGUUAGGGUAACUAUUUUCCUGCCCAUGAGUAUUUGUUAUUAUUAUUUCUUUACACAAAUCAUUCUACUUGUUGGAAUUGUUUGA